UGAGCUCUUCCCAAGGCAAAGCAAUCUGGCCUCUUGCACACUUCACACAAUUAUACACGAUUAAUUACAGUCAUCAAGUAGCAGCACCACGUGAAGAUGAUUGGGAAGAAGAUUAUGAAGCGCUCUUCCUCUUCUUCUUCCAUCGCACUAGCUGUGGCAAUCAUGGCCAUCAUAUUCCUUUGCUGCUUCCUGCCAUGCUCGGUGGCCAUCCAAGUUCAUCCAGAUGGAGACCAUGAGGGAGUGGGUCCUCCAUCACCAAAACCCGGGUCUCCGUGGAAGAAAUUGCCGCCACCACACCGCAAGACCCUGCAGGCUGUUGCGAAUGCCCCUCCAUGCGUAUGGCGCACCACCGAUGCCAUGACCACCUCUCCAUAAAAGCAUGUACAAUCUUUUUUAAGGAUAAUAAGGGAAGGAAAACCCUCUCGCACUUUACCCUGUCAGUGUCUGUUAGUGUCUUAUCAUUUUGCUUGACUCUGCCAUACAGUGUUAAAGGUCCUAGCUAGCGCCCGUUGCUAGUGACUGUUAGUGUCUGAGUGAUUUUAUGGAGUUGGGCUAGAACCGUGAGGGGGCUGGAGCCAAUUCUGUUGAAUUUCGAGUACGAAUGAACUGUGAAAAUAAUGUUUGACUUGAGGAUGAAAAAUCCAGUCGAGAAAGCAUACUCCUUUUAGUGCUACCAAUCCCCGUAACAUGGGCGGACAUGAUUCCGGGAGCGACAGUCAGUUUUCUAAGAAAGCAAUGUGAUCGCUACCAAAAAGUUAGACUAGCUAACAUGGUCCGCACCAUGGAGAGUUGUGUGCGUGUGUGUGUGUUUUGCGGGAAAGAGUUGAGUUUUGAGUGUUGACGACGACGGUGCUGACCAUACAUGAGCUAGUAUUCAUGCUCAGCCGAUGCUUAGCCGAUGCAGGCAGCAAUCUCACACAGAUCUAGCUAGUAAGUUUGGCAUCAGUGAGGUUAGUAUUAGUUCGACCAUUGCCCAUUAUGAUGGCCUUACUUCUAGGAUUGUUUUCAAGAAACCUCCCGUAACUGACCUCCACACACUAUGUCAUAGCAUCUACUAUAGUCAAAGAGCAUCAAAGAAUGACAAAGUGACAAUUGACACGACACUGAGUAUCAGCAAAAGGAUAAUAGGUUUGACCGUGUUGAUAGCUUGACCAAGAUUUACAACAAAAUAUGCCACGUGGUGGCACAAGCUUACACAUGGUCAAUAGGUUGCAGGUGUUCAAAAUAUUGAAGGCUCUAUCUUCUCCAACUAACAUGGUCAUAAGGUUCCACGUAUGUCCCUAUUGACCGGGAGUCCCGGAGUAGACUUUGACCAUAUCAAAGUCCCUGAGAACGAGAGCCUCAUUGACAAAUAUUGAAUGUAGAACCAACACUCAUACCAUUUCAUCUAUAGGUAUAUAUAUGGACAAAGGAGCUCAUUCGCAAAGUAAGGCAAUCUGGCCACUUGCAUUGUCUACAAAAUUACAAGGUUAAUUAUAGCCACCAAAAAAGCCUAACACCGACAUACUUGGCAAGAAGAUUAUGGAGCGCUCCUGUUCUUCUUCGACCGCGGCAACUGUGGCAAUCUUGCCUCUGAUGUUCAUAUAUUGCUCCUUGCCAUGCUCGGUGGCCGUGCAAGAUCUUCCAGAAGGAGAUCGUCCAGGAGUGGGUCCACCGGCGCCGAUCCCUGGGUCAGGGCGCCACAGGUGCCCCGGGUGCGAUCGCCCCACCAUUCCGCCACCACCGCCGCACCGGAAGACCCUGCUGGUUGGUACAGCAAACACCCCGUAAAAUUACCAAUGGUCAAGUACGCAUGCCGUUGAAGCUGUGGGCAGGAGCUGUCAAUAAACCAUGUCCUGAGUUUGGGCAUGCAAGCUGAUCAAAGUGAGAUCAUUGGAGGCCUUUCAUUUUGAAAAUCACUGAGCGGUCGAUGCUAUAGCCUAGCCAGCUUCUGCCUCCUGUCUUGUCGUAUGAUGGAUGACCGUGCUAUAUAUGUACUAUUAUGUGUAAUUAUUAGUUGUUCCAAGGCACCUUAAAAGGAAUAAAAAAAUAGUUUCUGAUC